UACGAAGGGGGCUAGCGUUGCUCGGAAUCACUGGGCGUAAAGCGCACGUAGGCGGCUUCUUAAGUCAGGGGUGAAAUCCUGGAGCUCAACUCCAGAACUGCCUUUGAUACUGGGGAGCUAGAGUCCGGGAGAGGUGAGUGGAACUGCGAGUGUAGAGGUGAAAUUCGUAGAUAUUCGCAAGAACACCAGUGGCGAAGGCGGCUCACUGGCCCGGUACUGACGCUGAGGUGCGAAAGCUAGGGGAGCAAACAGG
rnacentral:rRNA from 1 species